rnacentral:lncRNA from 1 species
CCGCAAGGGGAGGAGGGGAGGACGGGGGAGCCGGCACAGGCAGCAGGAACCAGCAGAGCCCACAGCCCUUGAUCGAAGAUGAUCCCGUUUCCGGUCUGGCCCCAGCCCUUGGCAGGCCCGGGAGUGGAGCUUCCCUCCAAGAGCGCAGGUUUGAGAUGGACUUCUGUUAUUGACAACCCAGAGGUUCCUGACUAACGCAUCAUUCAUUUGUCAAACACUGUGCUCCUGCUCUAUGCCAGACUACACAGGAUGGUGGAAUCCGAGGAUGACUGCGACACAGCUCCUGCCUUCAAGGAGCUUGGAGUCUCCUAAGCCUUGUCCAAAUGCUGCUCCUCUGUGACUACUUGGCCAGCUCCCACAGACAGUGAGCCCCCUUCUCCCCUCUGCUUCCCAGCACUAGGUUCACACUAUUCAUUCAAUGAAUAUUGCCAGGAGUGGUGGCUUAUGCCUGUAAUUCCAAGACUUUGGGAGACUGAGGCAAGUGGAUCACUUGUGGCCAGGAGUUUGAGACCAGCCUGAGCAACACAGGGAGACCCCACUUCUACAAAGAAAUAAAAACAUUAGGUGAUGUGGUGUUCACACCUGUAAUCUCAGCUACUCAGGAGGCUGAGGCAGGAGGAUCCCUUGAACCCAGGAGGUUGAAGCUGCAGGGAGCUAUGGUUGCACCACCAGCCUGGGCGAGAGUGAAGUUCAUUGGUUACCUACUUCAGGCCAGGCUCCAUGUUCCUCCUAUUGUAGAAUUGUCCCAGACUGUGUCUGCCUCUGCCUCUUAGACUGUAUGUUCUUGGAUAAUGGGCACCAUGCUGGUGAAUCCCCAGUGCCUAAGGCUGCGCCUAACGUGUGCUAAUUGCUUGUGUUUAUUGAAUGAAUGAAAGAAUGUGGAUUUCUGUGUGUGUUUAUGUGUGUUGGGAUGAGGGAGUGGACAACCAAAGAGAAGGACAAUAUGACAUAGCACCCAUAGCAGAGGAGAGGGUCCUGGAAGUUUCUAGAUCCAGCCAGGGCUCAGCCAGAAAAGCCAGCACACGGCUCUGAUCAAUUGAAUAAGAGCAGAUGUCUCCCUGCAGAUAGAUGCCUUCCCCACAUUUGCAACACAGGCGUCCCUGUCUCAGCACCAGUCCUGAAGAGCUGUCUCUGGAAGUUUUUCCCUUCUCCAAACCCCACCCAUAGUGUCCCGCCUGGCCACUACAUGGAUUCGUGUGAGGGCUCAAUGUAGCCUCUCCCUCUCAGGCUGACGGGGCCCAUUCUUCACACACAGCACUCGCUCACCAACAUGGGCUGGGGCCUCCUCAGAGCCGUGGAGGCAGGGAGUCACGGACUGACAGCCGGGCCUCAGAUGCAGGCUGGAAGGGACGGAGACAGCUGGCUCUAGCCUCUCUGCACAGAUUCUGCAGCACCCAAAGCCUCACCUUCUGAUCAUCCUGACCUGGGGGUGCCACCUCGGAGGAAACUGGUCCAUAGUUGAUCGUCCAGCUCUCCCACCUACAGAGGACAUUCUUUUCUCUCCCUCUGGCAGCAAUCCCCCAAGCUAAUUCUCCUAGUAACACCCUGUCUUCCACUGUCCCCAGUCCUCUGAGUGUGGCUGGGCACCAGUGGUCUGGGUCUCCUCCCCGAUAGAGACCAUCCUCUCUGGGCAGCAAGGCCCCACUGCUAUCUGCAGGGUUUCCUCCCUCCUCCCUGCCUUCUCCGCCUUCUCCACCUUCUCCUGUCUCCCUGUCUCUGCCUUUCUCUCCUCUCUUUUAUUCUUCCUUGAGCCCUCUUCCUUUGCAUUUCCUCUUGACUCUCCCCUUAGUCUGUCUUUAGCUGCUUCUUUCCAUCCCAUCCUCUUUCUCUCUGAUUCCUUCUCCAGACACCCUUCCUUCUUGGUUCUCUUCAUUGUGCUCCUCUCCUCCUUUUUCUUUCCCUUUCUCUCUUCCCAUCCCUCCUCCACUCCUCUCCCUUCUCCUCAUCUGUUUCUCCAGCUCUCCCAUCCUCCCACUGGGUCCAUCCUCCCAGUCCUGUCUGCAG